GUGCAGCAGGCGCGAAACCUCUGCAAUAGGCGAAAGCUUGACAGGGUUACCCUGAGUGAUUUCCGUUAAGGAGAUCUUUUGGCACCUCUAAAAUGGUGCAGAAUAAGGGGUGGGCAAGUCUGGUGUCAGCCGCCGCGGUAAUACCAGCACCCCGAGUGGUCGGGACGGAUUAUUGGGCCGUAAACGACAUCCGUACGCCGGUUCCGUUAC
rnacentral:rRNA from 1 species